rnacentral:rRNA from 1 species
GUGGGGAAUCUUCCGCAAUGGACGAAAGUCUGACGGAGCAACGCCGCGUGAGUGAUGAAGGUCUUCGGAUUGUAAAGCUCUGUUAAUCGGGACGAAAGAGCCUAGUGUGAAUAAUGCUAGGAAGUGACGGUACCGGAAUAGAAAGCCACGGCUAACUACGUGCCAGCAGCCGCGGUAAUACGUAGGUGGCAAGCGUUGUCCGGAAUUAUUGGGCGUAAAGCGCGCGCAGGCGGAUCUGCCAGUCUGUCUUAAAAGUUAGGGGCUUAACCCCGUGAUGGGAUGGAAACUACAGAUCUAGAGUAUCGGAGAGGAAAGUGGAAUUCCUAGUGUAGCGGUGAAAUGCGUAGAUAUUAGGAAGAACACCAGUGGCGAAGGCGACUUUCUGGACGAAAACUGACGCUGAGGCGCGAAAGCCAGGGGAGCGAACGGGAUUAGAAACCCCAGUAGUCC